rnacentral:tRNA from 1 species
GGGUGCUUAGCUCAGCUGGGAGAGCGUCGCCCUUACAAGGCGAAGGUCGUGGGUUCGAACCCCUCAGCGCCCACCA